UUCUAUUCUCAAGUACCUUUACCUGCUAAACCAUCUUGUCAACCUUCCUUUCUUUCUACCUUCCUUUCUUCCUUCCUUCCUCCCUCCCUUCCUCCCUCCCUUCCUCCCUCCCUUCUUCCCUCUCUCCCUUCCUCUCUUCCUUCCUUCUUCCCUUCCUUCCUCAGAGUGAAAAAUAAAAGCAAGAAACAAUCCUGGAGGAAGACAAACUGUGCUCCGUAUCUGUUUCGAGGAAAUGAAAUAACAAAGCGGAAGCUAAUAAUGAAGACUGAAACCCACCUUCUCUUCAGUGUCCGCCACAGUGAAUUCCGUCAGGUCGAAGCUUUAUAGACCGCAGCAGAGCAAACAAGGCCAAGAGACUGAAGAAUCUCAUUCAAUACUCCAUGCUCAGAGAUUUAUGGUUGUACCCUUUCUCGGGUUCUUCCAAGCUGUAGCCAUGUUGCCUCAAACACGCCACUUACACAAAACCUGGAAGUGAUGUCCUUGCUUCUCCUUACUGCAUUUAUAAAUGUUUAUGUUCUCCCUUCUUUAAAAAAAAAAGAGAAAGGAAGGAAGGAAGGAAGGAAGCCGGGCGGUGGUGGCGCACGCCUUUGAUCCCAGUACUUGGGAGGCAGAGGCAGGUGGAUUUCUGAGUUCGAGGCCAGCCUGGUCUACAGAGUGAGUUCCAGGACAGCCAGGGCUACACAGGAAACCCUGUUUCAGAAAACCAAAAACAAACAAACAAGAACAAGCAAGUAAUCAAGUGAGCCAGGUAUGGCGGUGGUGCAUACCUAUAAUCAAUCCCAAUACUUGAGAGACUAGAGCUGGGGGAAAUCACAAAUUCUAGGCCAGCCUGGGCUACAUAGCAAGCUCCUGUCCCAAGAAACAAACAAACAGAAUAUGACAGAUGUAAAAAAGGACAAACAACAACCCCCUUAACUUGUUUCAGACACAUGUUGUAUCAGACUCUUCUCUUUAAAGUUUUUAUUAUUUGUAUCCCAGGCUGGCCUUAAACUUACUACUUGAGUAUGGUGAGGCUAGUUUUGAACUCCUGAUCAUUCUGCUUCCACCUCCCACAUGCUGUGAUCUCAGGCAUAGCACUAUCACACCCAGAUCUCUACUACUCCUCUUUAUAGACCACCAGCCUCCUGCUAACUAGUCUUAUUUAUCCACAGUCAUAGCACACUCUUAACCUUCCCUCUUUCCCCACCCCUACUCCCAUACUCCUACACUUGAUGGAUUCCAUUCAUUCCAGCAGGUAAUGCUCCUUGAAUAAAGGUAAAGGUAAACAACUCA
rnacentral:lncRNA from 1 species